GACGAACGCUGGCGGCGUGCUUAACACAUGCAAGUCGAACGAAGUGGCGAACGGGUGAGUAACGCGUAAUAAACCUGCCUAUCAGGGGGGGACAACAGGUGGAAACGACUGCUAAUCCGGCAUACUGAAGGAGGGGAUUGCGUGUGAUUGGCUAGGUGGAGGGGUAAAGGCCCACCAAGGCGAUGAUCAGUAGGCGGUCUGAGCAGAUGAACCGCCAAAAUGGGAACGGUACACGGCCCAGAAUCCUACGGGAGGCAGCAAGGGGGAAACUUCCGCAAUGGACGGAAGUCCGACGGAGGCACGCCGCGGGAGUGAUGGCGGCCUUCGGGUUGUAAAGCUCUGUUCGUCGGGACGCGGUACCGGAAUAGAAAGCAACGGCUAACUACGUGCCAGCAGCCGCGGUAAUUC
rnacentral:rRNA from 1 species